CUUGUAAUCUUUUUCUGUCCCUGUAAAUGGAAAUUUUGCCGGAAAGGUCGGAUCGGACAUUAAUUCUUGCAGCAUGGAUGCAACAUAUUUUUGUACAUAAUUUCAGUCAAAAUACUACAACCUUCCCACUUCCGCUUUUGUAGUCUGUUGUCAUUUACUAUUUUGUUUUGACUUUUGCAUUAUUGUAGCGGUUGCCGAAUUAUGGAGAAAUAUGGCGAUAAAAUUUAGUUGUUUUUUAUUUUUGUAAUAUUUUAAAUAAUUGUAACAAAGGUUGCAUUUUUCGUUUGAUUCAAUGCAUAUGAACACAUAAGAAUUUUGAAAUUUAACUUAUAUCGUCGUAUUUCCAUAUAAUUUGUUAACCGCUGCAAUAACAGAAAUACUGCAGUAAGAAACAGAGUUUUUCAAAAAAAUAGUUUUAAAAAAGUUUUAAAAGAGUUUUAAAAAGCAAAAAAGUUUAAAAUGUUAGAUUUUUAAAAAGGUUAAAAAAAUUACGGUUAAAAAAGUUAGGGUUAGGAGUUAGAGAUUACUGGUUAGGAUUUAGGGGAUUAGUGGUUAGGGGUUAGUGCCGCGAAUUUAUUAUUAUCAUAAAUUCAAAAUGUGCUGCGAAUUUAUCAUAAUAAUAAUUUCGGACGUGUUUAAGAAUUUACUCAUAUAGUAAAUUCAAAGGUGGAGCUCAUGCUGAACUGCAACACUAGCUUGCCAGUUAUUUUUGAUAGCAGCUCUUAUUUUUACUUUGUGCAUGCUUGAGUCAUGGAAAAGAACUUUUCUUUUGCUGGCCUGGGGAAUUUUGCAUGUGGAGAAAGCCGGGGAAUACAGAAAGUUGCACAAAUUGGGGGAGUGUAAUGCAGACAUUUGUACUCACCCCAGCAGUUGUCACCUCACGAGGCUUACCAUCAACGAGAGUGAACUUAUACUUGCCAGAGCAGGGCACUUUUACAUACCCAGGAAUAGCUGACAAACAUGACUAUCCAGUCUGUUAUUAGUUCAGUUUCAUUUUUCAAUUGGGUCUAUCCUGUCAAUAUGAGAUCAGUGGAUAGACUCUAUAAAAAGUGAAGCCAAUAGACAAAUUUGGCUAACGCUGUUUACAUCGUUGCCACCCAAUUCACAGCUUUGGAUAACUCACAUGCCUAGUUACUAUUGUUCUAGUUUACAGAAGCAUAGACUGAAUAGAACAAAAGUAACUAAACAUUAAACUUAUGUAUUAUCACUUUAUAUUUACUGAGAUCGAGGGAAACAGUGUGUUUUGUGGACCAGAGCCACUUAUAGAUAGUAUAUAAGUGUUAAAGUAUGAAUAAUUCACCGAUUAUUGGAGUGAACUUAGCGGCAGAUCAAGGCAGGGGCGCCGGAGCCACGGG